CAAGCCCGUGAUCCGCUGGGUCCGCACCCCCCAGGGCGGGGCCGCGGCUGUCACCUCCGGCACGGUGAGGUGAGGACACCGAGCUCAGGGCGCCUGUGAAAGGGUCCCCUCUUGACCUUGCCUCAGCCUUGCCCCGGGAGCGCGGCCACACGGACAGCAGGGGCUCCCUGGCAAAGGCCCUUGGGCCGGGUCACACCCACAGGCGCGCAGAGGGGAAGGACAUGCCCGCUUGAGGGGGGCAGAAACCGGGCCCCGAAGAAGGAGCCGCAGGCUCAGAGCUGGGAUCGUGCAGGUGCUGGGGCCAUGGCGGCCGGGCACACACAAGGACACCGCGGUAGAGACGCCGUGCACACAGGGCCGCGGGCCUGGCCGUCUGGAGCCCGAGGGGAGCCGGUCACCCCUCUGCUCAGAACCCUGACAGCUCCCUAUCUACUCAGCAUAAAGGCCAGAGGCUUCCAGGAGAUUCAGUCCAUGGUCAGGAAUCAUGAAGUCAUAAUGGAAGGGCAUGGUGGAACAAAACCUGUGCAGCUGGAUGUUUGAGACCUUGAUAUGGUAAGUCUGCUUGAUGAUUAUUCCUGCUUACAUGUCUCCAGAAACAGACAGCUCACUACCCACCAGGUCAACCACUUCUUUUUGGUUUUUGGUUUUUAGUUUCUGUUUUAUAAAAUGCUUAGUGUUGUGUGAAGACAGUGAAUACUAAACCACAACUGUCACCAGAAAUGGAGGAAGGAGCUUGGAGUCCCCAUGACAUCGUCCCUCCUCUCUGUGAAGCUGAUGGAGGCCCCCCCAGUCCCCAGCACAGGAUGAGAGGAGAAGCAGAGUUUCAGACACCGUCCUGGGCCCAUGGGGGUCCCCCAGGACCGAGAGAGCUCGGCAAGGUUGGCUGUGUGCUUCCAAGACUGAGUGGUGCCCAGGCCCACAAGGGGCACAUCCGAAAGGAUCUGACCAACUUGCCUGGGGUCUGGGGGCCAGAAAUGUGAGACUGCUCCCCCUAGUGUCAGGUCAAGGAGCGCUCAGCCGGGGUCCAGGAAGUCUGCACAGGAUCUUAGCAGGAAUGCGAGGGUAUAGUGGGGAAGACAGAAAACAGGAAAGGACAGACAGCACGCAGAAAGGAAGAUAAGCUGUAAAAGAGGUGAAGGCAGGCACAAGGCAGGCCACAGGGCUUGGUACAGGUGGCACGGGUAUGGGGGUCCUUGUGUGGAGGAGGGGCCGCUGCCGUCAGCUGCAUACAUAGAUGAUAAAGGGAGCACUUCCUGACAGGUGUGCAUGUGGGGGGGGUCCUGGGGCCUUGGCUGCAGACAGCAGCUCCCCCAGCCUGCCCCAUCACCACUGCAUCCAAAGAACAGUCCAAGAGGAAGUCCCCAAUCAGAGGGGAGAGGCUGGGGUCCCAGGAAGACCGAGGCAGCGGAGCUGACCUGGGGAGGGUCUGGGGGUCCAGCUGUGCUGGAGGAGAAGGCAGGGGGUGGGGUGCUCAUUAGCACCUCACUGUUUGUGCAGCAUGGGGGUCCAGCGGCAGGGUGAGCCAGCUCCCCCGACAGUGCCAGGUCCAUCAGGAGGGCUCAGAGCCCUUGGUGCAGCAAGUUUGAGCUGUGAAGAGGGAGGGGCAAGACGAUCCGGAGCAGGGCCCCCCUGGGGGAAGCCUACCUGGGAGUCCUGAGUGCCAACCACUGGCAGGAAUAGAGGCCUUCGGGUUCACACAGCUGGUGGCCAGUGGCCGAGGAGAGGCCAGAGGUGGCAGGUGCACUUUGCCCUUCAAAGCUGGAGGUGCUCCUGGGCAGUGGGGGGGGGGCUGGCAGGGCGGGCACAGUCCCGCUGCUCUUCUGGUCCCCAUAAAGAUUGACGGGGUGGAUUCCACGGGGUUCCCUCUCAGGGGUCUCCCAGAUACUGCCUGCCGCUGGUCCCCAGGCCUGGGUGGUGAGGGCCCCGUGGCCAGAGAAGCAGGCCCCGGCCAGAGGGAGCCGCUCUCGGGUGCAGGGCUGCCUCCUUCUGGCUGAGCUGAGUGAGGCAAGUACCUGAGCAGACUCCCUGGGUGCCACUGCCAAUGACAGUGGAGGGGCCAGGGUGGAAGCUCCGGGAGGCCGAGGCAGGCAGGACAUCUCCAAGCUGCCCCUCCAGCUCAGGCAGCCUGCACAGCACAUCUGCCUGUACCCAGCACAGGCACCGUGGCUGCUCAGUGCCCAGCUCAGGGGCUGGGGCCAAGGACUGGCAAUUGUGUGAUCUGCUGUGGCACUGCCACCUCCCACUCCUGGGUCUCCUUAGCUGGCUCCUCAGCAGGGCACAGGAUGGUGCGCUGGGCUGGGAUGCCAUGGAUCAUAGGCACCAUGGCCAACUGGGAACAUCACCAGGCUCCUGCAGGACUCAGGUGCAGCUGGCUGGAGAGCUCUGCUCCUGGAGCACACUUUUCAUAGCACCUCAAGUUUCAGGCUCAGCACCUUCUGCAGCCCCAGCAGAUGCCCUGACCUUUCCAGGAUGCAGGCUUUCUGAACAGAGCAGCUGGGGCAAUGAAGGUAGGAGAGCAGAUGAGCUGACCUUGGACUUCCCUCCUGAUGCCGUGGGGAGGCCUCCCAUUGAGUGGGAAGAUAGUGGGAGCUGGGCGGCCUUAGGCCUCCUGAGAAACCACAGGCUACAGCCAGCAGUCUCUCCGUGGGUCCUGGACUGAGGCAGGUGGGGUCAGUGUAGGCCAGAGGGGUCCUUCGACAGUGCUGGGUGUUACUGCCUGCUUUGGAGCGGGCUAGGUGACCUGAAGGCCGUCUCCGAGUCACUCGAGGGAUGACUAUGGGUGUGGCCCUGGCUGGCUCAGCUCCCAGCUCCACCCAUUCUUGGUGGGGAUCAGGAAUUAGUAGCGCUUUCACUAGGGCCCCUGUUUCUCCAUCUGUGAAAUGAGGGUGACCGUGCCCUCUCACUCCUAGGACACUAGCAUGUGCUAUGCAGACAACGCUGCUGCCCUCCCGGGACACCAGUGUCCAUUGGGGCAGGACCCACCUUUGGCAAAGUGUCUUCUAGACCCGAGUCCACUGAGGCCCUCAGAGAACCCCACCAGCUGGCAGACUUGCUGGGCGACACACAGGCCAGGGUGACAGUACAGGGUGACUGGCACCUUGGAUUUGAGCCCAGCCUGUGUGGUGCAGGAUGCAGGGUGUGGUCAGAGGCCCUGCAGCUGAGGACACCAAUAGAGCCUCACUGCCUCAAGGUUCCCAGAAUCCUCUGCGUGGGAGGUUAGGACAAAGAACGGUGCUCCCAGAGGCAGGCAAGCUGGGUUCUGUCUCUGUGUGACCCAGGCCUGCUUCACACCGUCUCUAAACCUCUCAAUCCUCAUCUAUGAUGAGGGGAUAAUAAUUCCCCCGUCACAGGUGCAGGAGAGGGGAAAGUGGAAAAAGCCUUGACAAAGGUCAGAAAACUGGUAACGGGGCUUCCAGACCUGCCCCAUUCCUGCCCUGCUCACCUCCCAGCCAUGCCCAUGCCUCUCCCCAGGUUAUCUACGCCCCUGGAGAUACGGGACUGGCUUUGAGUACACCUGGGCCACUCCAGCAGGUGACAUCCGGCAGGCAGGCACAGCCCACAGCAGGAAGUUUGCUUAGAGGGCAGGCAUGCAGCAGCCUCCUGUCACCUGGGGGCAGCUGGGCUUACCGACCCUGGCAGGUGCCGGUCACACACUUCCAGGGGAGGCUCCCUCUGCACUGUGGGAGCCCUGUGGCUGUGGGGCUCAGUCCUGGGUCACAGUACUAUGCCCAGAAACCCACUAAGGCCAGGAGCUUGCUGCUCUGGAGCCAGUGAGGGCAGGAGACCUGGGGCCUUCUGCUGAGCUGAGUGAGCACAGUAGGGGAAGGGGAGGGGACAAGGGACAAGACACUGCCCAACGCUCCAGCUGUCAUCUUGUUUCGGAUUCACGCCAGGCUGGGGGCAGCCGAUGCUGCUCGUUUUGCAGCUGAGUGCAGGCCCUGGCUACAAAGCUCAGCUCCUCUGUCCCCCUCAGUGCGGCUGUUCCUGGGCCACCCCAGCCUUCUGGUCUGUAAAAUGGGCCUCGCAGAGUUGAGACCCCAGUCAGCCUGGGGCGCAGGGGUGCGGCAUGGCUGCAGCACUCUGUCAGAGCAGAAGGAGCUGGGUGUGACACUUCUCCAUCUCUCUCAGCUGCCUCACAGCAAGGCAAGGGCAAAGGUCGGUGGUCACCCCAGCUGACAGAUGAGAAAUCCGAUGUUGCUCGGAAAGCCUAGUAACUUUGCUGGAUACACAGCGAGGCCCCACCUCACCCAGGGUGCUUACACUGAAGAUGCAGGAUCCCCAGGGUGGGCACUGUGUCUGUCUCGUCCGCUGCUGCAUCAUCAGUAUUCCAAAUAGGCCUGGCGCACAGCCGGUGCUCAGUCAAUGUUAGCUCAUUGCAUGAGAGAAUAAGCAGAUGAAUAAUCGGGGAGACAGAGGGCAGCAGGGAGGGCCCCGCACAAGCCAACAUCCAAGAGGCCUAUGUGUGAUUUCAGGGGCAGCCAGGACCCCUAGACAGCGAAGUGCCCGGGGUCAGCAGGGGCAGGGGAGCCACCCCAUAUGAAUCAGCUGCUGGCCCCCGCAGGCUGCAGAGGACAGGAAAGAGUACUUGAUACACAGCCACACUGGUUUCCAAAUCUAAGACUUGGGUCGCGACCAUAGUGUUAAGUGAAAUAAACCAGACCCAGAAGCUCAAAUGUCACAUGAUUUCUAUUAUAUGAAAAACUCAAAGUAGAAAUAAAGAGCAAAACAAAAGCUAGAUGGUAGGAAGAAGGCAGCUAGAUCUUUUGCAGAUGAGAAGGGGACCAAGAGAUUAGGGGGGUGGCAAAAGAAUUAGCGGGAGUUACCAACUACCCUGGAGGAAUGGAAACGUCGUGCGCCAUGAACUUGCCGUGGGACCCGGGUCUCUGAGGCCACCGUCUCUCAUCUGAGAAGUGCAAGGUUUGAUGGGAUUGUCCCCGGCAGCCUGCCCUUCCCUCUCAGGGUCCCGUGAAACAGCUGUGGCUCCUGGCCAGUGCCCCUGCCCAAUGCUCUACCUGGGCUCACAGUGCCACAGGUGGAGAGCAGAGAUAUUGUCCCAUUCUUCACCACGGGACAAGGGGAAGAGAGGCAUCCAGGAUUCCCCAGCUGGCUCCUGGGGUCUGGAUUAGCUCCUGCUGUGCCCCAAUCCAGUGCUUACAGUGGGGUGUGGGAGUGGGGCACAAGCGCUCCAGCCAGUGACUCUUGCUGCCGUCCUCUGUGUGACCUCCCUUCCUCUUCUGCAUGUGGCAACAGUGAUUCUUACCCAGGCCCUGCAGGACAGCUGGCUCGGGGGACAGAGGAUGCACGAAGGCCCGGUGAGGGGCAGGCUGGCUACCGUGUGGAGUAAGGCCAUCCAGAGUACAUCCUUCCUCAUGGGCCAGAUCUGUGCACACAGCAGAACCAGAUGUCCCAACCUACAUGAGUCAGAUUUCAUGGAGAGGAUUAAGAAAAAAUGUGCAAGAAGGCUAGGGGAGGAACCAAUCAUAGAAAAGCAAGCUGAGAAACUCUGAACGCAACUGUUUCUCCGUCAGCCCCUGCACUGUGCCUCGGCCACAUAGGGGAUGAAGCCCUUUUCUGGGCCCUGGGUGCAGGCCCUGGGCUGAGCCCUCACACACUGAGCUCUCACAGGAGUUCCCUGAGCCAGGGGUGCGAGAGAGCAGAAACUGGGCCAGGCUGCCCACAUGCAAGCCCCGGUUCUGACACGCAGGAGCUGGUGUCCAUGGGCGAGUCACACAGCACCUCAAUGCCUCGAUUUCCUCUCUGCAAGUGGAAGUAACAAGAGAGAGGUGGUGAACAGACACCAGGCACUCAGCCCUGAGCAUGUGGAAGCACCUCAGGACAGUGGCUAUUUCGGGCAUUGCUCCUGCUUAACUUCAGAUGAGGGAACUGAGGCUUGGGCGGCGGGAGUCCCUCGGCCAGUGGUGACAGAAGCAGGACAGGGUCCCAGUGAUCUGACUCCUCCUGCCACCUGGGCCCUUAGCUCCUCUGCUGAGCUCAGCUGCCACCUCCCCCUGGGAGCCUUCCUGCAUUGCCCACAUCUCUGCAGGACCACGUCUUCUCUCACACAGCUCUGGCUCCUCCUGUUGUCAUCCACUUCUGUCACGGGGCUUGUCCUCAAGGCUCAGGGCUCAGGGCAGGGCCUGGCCCAGAAGAGGACUCUCUUGAGAGAUUACUGAGCAAUGCCAGAGGUCCCCCACCCCACUGACCUGCAGCUCUCCUCCGAGGACAUAGUACCAGUCUAGGUUGAGGGGACCCCUGGCCUGAUGGGUGUAAGGCCCCCCACUGUGGCGACCUUCUGGGCAGCUGGGAGUGGCAGGGGGACCCAUGGGUCCUUAGGCCAGCAGGACUGGGCCUUGAGGGUUGCGUGCUGCCUCUCCUCUCCUUCUCAGUUCCAUGAGGUCAGCUGUUCUUGUCAUGUCAUGGGGGAGAGAGUGUGCCCCAGGACACGUGGGAAAGAGGGCUCCCAAUAUUUCCAGCUGAAACUCAGGACACGGAGCAGGACUUUGUCCAAAAGGGUAUUUCCCAUGGCCUUGUGUGUAAUGGCCCUGCCUUGGAAAAGAGCCUGUGUCCAGCUGUAGCACAGUGAGCUAGGGCAGGGUCUCUAGGGGGCAUCAGUAAUAUCAACCCACUAAAACGUUAGGCUCAGUGCAAAUGUUUCAUAGAGGAGAAGCACUAAUGACAUCUUCCUUUUUUUCAGCUGAGCCCAAAUUAUGCAGCUAGUGCAGCUGAGAUGGCAGGAGUCCAUGAGCACAGGGACCCUGCUCGGACACAGGGCCGGCUAGCCAGCUUCUCCAUGCGUUAGUGCCCUCUGCUGUAAUGUGGGCACAAUAGCACCAGAGCACCUACGCAGGGUAGAACACAUGGAAACUGCUUAUGCUCUUCUUGUGUGAUGUUUGUCUCUGCAGCAGCUCUACACUCAGUACCUACCUCUUGGACACCUGCCCCCCACUAGCAGCCCUGCCUGGCAAGGUAGCAGGGGUGGCAGUGCCUGUUAGGGUCAGGGGAGCAGGAGGAGGGCCGGCUGAAACCCAGGCGCACUGGGCCAUGCUCGCCGCCAGGUAAGAACCCAUCCCACCUACCUGCCAGGGAAACUGAGGCCCUGAGUGUCAUGGCUCAGGCCAAAUGAGGCUGUCCCUCCUGCUGGUGGGUGCCCUCCAAACUGCCCACUCUGAAGUCCCCUCCCAGAGGUCCUGCAUCCCCACCCUUACUCACUGCUGCCCACUCGGGACUCAGAGUGACUCUGGGUGGCCUUCCAGGUCCCUGGGGCUCCAGGUGCUGCCCCUCGGCCCAGCCUUAAAGCAACAUCGUGACUGGACUGGCUGGCAUGUGGGUUCCGGGGCCUGUAGUGGGGUGGGGGACGGGAAGUGGCGAGAACCCUGCAGUCGACUGAGAUCCACUCCCACUUCCCCGGGAAUGGAGAUGCUUCUGAGAGCCAUUGGUGUUCAGCACAGAGGGCUCUGGAAGGCCCGAGCCCAGAUCUCCUCCCUCCCAUUUUGCAGGAAGGGAAGCUGAGCCCAAAGAGGGCAGGAAAGCCACCUGUCCAAGGGCUCUCUGUGUCCUGCGCUGACAUAAGGCUUUUUCCUCCUGGCAGGGCUCUGCUGGCGAGGGGGCCCUGGGCCUCCCGGACCCACCUCGGGCAGGCAGGUGGUCUCUGCAAUGAUGACCAACACUGACAAGGCCCCUCUGGUCCCUCCACUGAGGUCACCACACCAGCUGGAGUGACCACGCCUGCAGUGUGGGACCCGACCUCUCUGUCCCAGUUCUCCUGUGUCAAAGGCCUCAGUAUCCAAGUGACACAAGUUGAGCAUCUGGGUGAAGCCAGUGUUUGUGGACAGGUGAUCUGGAAACCUGCACAUGUUGGCUCUGUGUGUGUGUGUGUGUGUGUGUGUGUGUGUGUGUGUGUUCUGUGGGAGGGCACCUGAGCCAUCCUGGAAGGGUGGCAGUGAGGCGACAGCAUGCCGCAGAAGGAGCAGCCCCUGCCAAGAUGGACAGAGUCACUAUCUCAUAGGAUCGUGGCACACUCUCGGGCCAGGACUGCCUGGGGUCUGACUUCCUGUUACUGCAAUAAAGCAGAGGACCGGAGUCCCAGGUGGCCCUCAGCCAUGGCCCAGGUGUCCCCGGCAAGCGGGCACUGAGUCCUGUCUCAGCCCAAGACGCUACAGAUGGCACAGAGUCAAGAUGCAGGGGGAGCUCUGAGCACAGAGCAGGCCAGCAGCAGGGACAUGCUGUCUUCAAGGAAAGAGCUUACUCCAGAGCCUAGGUGUCUAUUUCUCCGGGCCGCAAGAUGAUUUAACAUCAUCUCUUGUCAUUGUCACUGUGUGUGUGGUCUGUGGUACAUCAACAUCCCCAUUUCACAGCAAGAAUCAGAAGUCAGAGAGGACCAAGUGUCUUGUUUGUUUUUUGGGGUUUUUUGGUACUGGGGAUAGAACUCGGGACCUUGUGCUUGUGAGGCAGGCGGUGGAACCGAGCUAAAUCCCUGGCCCUAGGACCAAGUGUCUGAGCAAUGCUGAGAAGCUCGGAAGUGGCAGGGUCUGCUCUGCCUGGAGGUGGGGCUGGGGCACCUGGGAACCAAAACCCACCAGCGGCCCUCUUGGCAAGCUGUGGGCUCAGGCAGUGUACGGGUGGGAAGCACGGGCCCUGCUCAUUUCUGCAGGGCAGUGUCUAUGCAGGAGCGGGCCCUCGGCCCCCUCCCUGGCUGUCUUCCCGAGGUGUCCCAGCUUGGUGGGAUUUAGGACAAGGCCUGGAUCCUGCUUAAGCCCAAGGCCCCUGGCCCAGGCUGGAAACACAGGCCUGGAGUGGGCAAGUCAUAACUUCUGUCCUGCCUAGAAGACUGCCCUAGCCUUGCUGGUUUCUUUUUCUUUUCUCCUUUCUUCUUCAUCUUCCUCCUUCUCUUCCCCCUCUUCUUCUCCUCCUUCCCCUUCUCCUCUUCUUCCUCUUUUUUCCUCCUCCUCCUUCUUCUUCCUCUUCCUCUUCUCUCUCUCUCCCUCUCCCCCCCUUUCUGGUACUGGGGAUUGAAUCCAGGACCCCUGAAUUGAGCUGCAUUUCCAGCCCUUUCAUUUUUUUUUUUCUUUUGAGAUAGGUUCUUGCUAAGUUACUGUGUUGUCCAAUCUGGGCUUGAACUUUUGAUCUCUGUGCCUCUGCCUCCCAGAGGCAGAGGUGCGUGCCACCACCCCUGGCUCCAGCUUCUUGCCGGUAGCAUGCAAUGUAAGGUCCCUCUUUCCCGGGGCAGCCGUUAGGGGCGACUAUCCCUGGUCCCGGAGCUGGCCUGGGUCUGCUCUUACAGAGCAGUGAAUCUCCCCAGUCUAGGGUCCUCUCCCGAGGCUGGGAUGGGUGUGACUGGAGUCCGGGCAUCCAGUCGUGCCCUCCAGCUCCACCUCCCUCUUGCUUUGCUUUCAGGAACUGGUGUCAGGGUGCCCCGGCAUGGCGGUGAGUCCUACAGGCUUGGGGAUUCCCUGGACCGAUGGGAGCCAGCGGCCUCGAGCCCUCCUGGCACCUGCCCCAGCCGGCAGCACAGGGGAGAAACGGGAGCAGGUGGCAGGGGCACCACCUGCACCAGCUUGUUCCAUGUCACCGCGCGGGCACCUUUCCCACUGAAAGGCCCCACUGCCGAGUUGUAGAGGCGCAGAGAGCAGGGCGCUCGCUGCUGAGCGAAGAGUGGGGAGAGGAGGAGGUGCGGAAAUCGGGGCCAACGGAAUCUCCCAGAUCUCUGGGCACUUUUCCAUUUUUGCCACCUCGUCCCCUCCUCAGUGACACCUGGGCUGCUGCCACUGCCUCUUAGGCCUCUCUGACCCCAAGCCGCCCUCCCCUCAUGAUUCACCAGCUCCAGCUCCCACAUCACCCCGGCAAGUGAGAGAAAUGGGGCACACGUGUCUAACAUCACGCCGUUUCUCUGGGGUGAGGAACCGAAGUGGAAAUAAGGACCAAAAUGUCUAACAGACCCUGGGAAGUGGGAAGAAAAUGUUAGAAUGAGAAGGGGAACAAGGAAGCGGGAGGGGAAAGGAAAGAAGGGACAAGAAAAAAAGAGAAUGGGGGCUGGGGAUGUAGCUCAGUGGCUCUCCCGCCAAGCACAAGGUCCUGAGUUCAAUCCCCAGUACCAAAAAAAAAAGAGAGAAAAUAGGAAAUUCAGUCUCUUGCUGCAUUGUCUGCUGGGUGUGAAGAUAAACAAGGCUGCGUGCUCUGAUUUCACUCCUGACUCUGCCACUGGCCUCUCAGGGACUCAAGCCAAGAUAGUCUCGGUGGCCUCAGUUUCCCCAGCAGUAAUUGAGGGUCUGAGUAGGAGCAGUGGGAAAAGCAGGGGCACUGGAGGCAGGAGGCUGGGCUUCUCCUGACCCCCGGCUCCUUGUGCAUCAGGGCCAGGCCUCCCUCGUGGGGCCUGCAGUGCCCCUUCCUUCACAGGGCCGUGCUGGCCUCCGGCUAGCCAAGGCGCCCCAUCCCUCUGCCCACACGUUCCAGGUCUCUGACACGAGGUCCCUAGGUUCUUUUAGCUUGCAAUUCCAGGAUGCAUUUGUAUCCUCUCCUCCCUCUGGACUCUUCCAUGUUUCUCUCUGGGAAAACUGAAGGCCUUUAAUCACCACAGCUCCCAGUCAGCUAGAGAAGACUUGGCCACCAGGAGCUUAUAUUACGUUAUCUCAAAUAGGCAAAUUAACGUGGCGCUCACAGCCCGCCUGGAAAGCCCAGCCAAUUUUUCUGACUAUCCCUAAAUAGCCCGAAACAUCUAAGUCACAAACCACUAAGAAUCUCUCCUAAGAUGAAGUUUACAGCCUCUGCCUUACAGGAAGUGGUGAGAUCUCUGGAUGUCAUUGGCACAUGACAGACUAUACACUGCUGGGUAUACAUUCUGUGUUCUGUCAAUAAACAGUUACAUCAAAAUGAUACAUUAGAUACGCAUUGGAUACAAGUGCCACAAGCAUAAGGAAAUACAUGAAGUAGCCAAGGUGAAAACCACCCUGAUCAAAAGGACUCCUGCUAAGUGACGGGAGGGGAGAGAGCAGGAGGCAGCAGUGGGUGCAAAUGCCACAUCCAUGUCUGAAGACUGGCCAAUGCCCUUUCUUUUUGACAUUUAAGACUCAGGGGCCAGGUGUGGUGGCACAUGCCUGUAAUUCCAGCACUCAGGAGGCUGAGGCAGGAGGACUGCUGCAGAGUUUGAGGCCAGCCUGGGCUACAUAGUGAGUGUAAGGCCAGCUUGAACUACAUAGAGAGACCCUGUUUCUAAAAAAUAAAGGCUCAGGAAGUGAAUGGCUGUGACCCUUUAUCUGUAGUGAAGCCGUGCAUGAGUCAUUGGGGUAAACAGAUAAUGCACAUGGACUUCUGUUUGCUCUUCCUUUGCUCACAGUUACACAGCCCCAGGAACUGUGCUUCGGCCGCUGCAUUUUCGAGUGUGACACAUCAGCUCACAGCACUCCCCACUUGCCUUCCGGGCAGGCAUUGCUCAUGCCAAGGGUGCCCCUGCUUUCAGUCCUUGGUGUCAUUCCUACCUUUUCUGUCUAUGCAGGGCAUUUCUGGGCCACCUUAGACUCGCCUACUUUCUGCUGUGGUUUUCAAGUUUCCUAGAAGAUAUUUUCACUCACCCUGUGAGGGAGAUGCCGGCAAUAAUGCGCAAGACAUUGAACAACGAAAGGAGACGUUGUCCCACGGAGGGAGGUCUGGACUGGACUGUGGUGCCCACCGCACACCCUUGCCAGGCUCCCUCCACUAAACUGUCAUCCUGGCUGGUGUAGCCACGCACUCAGCAGGCAGGAGCAAGAGCCCAAGUGUCAAGCCUGUCUGUGUUUAUGGUUAUUUGUAAUCCCACCAGUGUUCUUAUCCUGCUCCGGAGGGCUGGAUUAAUCAGACUGGAAACGUGAUCGGUCAUGAGCUCAGCCCUGUCCCGUCCACCCUAUAACCUGACUCCAGGCACACUGGGCUUUUCUUCUCCCCUUAGCAGUCCUGACAUCCCCUCGGGGCUGUGAAAUUUCCAUCACUUUCAUACUCCUCUUUCACCUGAUGACCCACACACCCCCAGUAGCUUCUUUCUCUUUCUGUCAAGCAGAGAUCAUUACACCUGUGUAGUUCCCUGCCACUUUGCCCCUAAAAUAGUAAAGGGGUGGGGAGGGUACACGCAGCUUCCUUUUCUCCACUGCCUGCCAAGGAGGGCACUCCUUUCCUAGAAGAAAUAUACAGCCCACCCCCUUCCUCUACAAUGCCCUGGGGACGUCUCUGACUCCACCCCACUGCGAUCAGAUGUCCACUGUUUACGCUAGACUGGGCAGAACCUGCUUUGGCCCUUCCUACAAUGUCCUAGCUAAUCAGGCUCACUCCGUGACUUUAGUCAUUAUUGCUAAGGUGAUAAGGCCUCAUCUCCAGGCUAGAAUCUCUUCCCGAACCUCAAAUCCAUGCCCCAGGAUUCCCCACACUACACAGCCCCACCCUGAGCAUCCCCCUGAGGUGCUGGCCCCCAUCUUUCCCCUUUCCCUCCCCUAAUUAAUAGCCCUGAUGCAGCCUUGGAAGUCUGCUUCACAUCCAGCGUGUCUCUUCCACACCAAGGCUUCCAUUUCUGGUCCAGGCCUCCUCCUCUUUCCCCAGGCCACCCUGACAGCCCCUCACCCAGUUCCUGGUGCUAGAGCAUUCAAUCCCAUCACACCAUCUCCCUCUGCUUAAGAUCUCUUAAUUUGUCUGCAACUCAACUUGAUUAAAGUUAUGCAAGAAUAAAGUUAGUACAUUAGACUAUCAGAUAACCAUGAAAAGGGCAGGGAUGAAGGCCAGGGUACCUUUACUCAAAUAGCACCACAAUUCUCAUGUUUUGCUGUGUGUGUGUGUGUGUGUGUGUUUACGUUUUGCUUUGCUUUGUGCUAUUAGGGAUGGAACCCAGGGCCUUGUAUAUGCUAGGCAACCACCCUAUCACCAAGCCACACUCGCAGCCUGCACUGGAAAUUUUGUUUCUCCUUUUCCCCGAUGAAUCUUCUUCACUCUCUCCUAAUUCAUACCCAUUUCCUCCAGGGAACAGGCAACCUGUCUACUCACCACUCCCAAGCUUUAUAUUCAUUGUGUUUGUCUAGCUGUUAUCCUCCAUACCAGCUACCACCUUUGGCUCUAGGUUAGAAAAAAAAAAAUUCCAGUUACAUUUGCUUGCAUGAGGACUAAUCAGUUACACCAGGUAGUGGGGGAAGUCAGUGGAAAAAAGACAAAGAGCUGCUGCUUCCAGGCCUCUGAGAAGAGCUGCCACAGUCAGGCUGGGCAGACAGGGCAGAAAGGCCAGGGUUAGGGUUAGGGUCAGGAUUAGGGUUAGGAUCAGGAUUAGGCACCAGAUUCAACUUGGUGCCUUUUUCCUAAGAAGAGAAAACAGACCAAACUUGGUGCUCAAACGCAAACCUUUCCUGGGAGCUUCAUUCAAGGUGAAGCCAUCACACGGUCUUUGUCCUGGAGGCCCAGUCAUCAAGUAGACAGCGCUUGCUAUUAUGGCUUUGCAAAGCUGCCAAGUCCAGGAAGAUUGUGGAAGCUUUCUGACUCUGCUUCCCGUACAUUUCUAAGUUGGUUGCAGGCCAGGGCUUCCACUGCCCAGGUGCAGCCAGCCUAAUGCUAGGGUGUUGACAGGUGCCAGGCAGGUAUGAGAGAGAGCCUUGUUCUGCCACAGAGCACUGAAGUAUCUGUUCUGAACUCCUGUCACCUUGACUGAUGCUUAGAACACUUAGGACUCAGCUCCAGACUGGUCGCACCUUGGGACUUCACUCUCAUUCUCAAUGCCGGCUCCUCCAGGCUCUGUGCACCUGAGGACAGCUGUUGCCUAUGUAGCCUUUGCCUCUCAGCAGCCAGCCUGGGCCCAUGGGGACUGGGAGCUCUGUGACACCAACUUGAUGUGCUACAUAGCUUGGGCCCGGGGGCCUCUGAUUAAAAAAAAAAAAAAUACAGUGUUGCUUCCAUGUGCCCGUACUUGAUCAUCCCCAUUUCAAAUUGGAGUAAAACUGAGGUUCUAAGAGGUUAAGUGACUUUCCCAAGGCUGAACAGCAGCCCAGAGGACUGCACCAUUGCUACCAUGCAAAUCGGACUGUCCUGUGAAGACUCAUUGUCUCUGGGAAUCUGAGCCUGCUUGUCCCAGGCUGAGGGCAAUAGCAACAAGGUGAAUAGGAAACUCCACAGGGCUUGGGAUCAGCCUGGCAACUUGUGAAGAUUCAAUUCAGUAACAGCGAGAAUCUCGUCCUUGUCAUCGAGGAAUGGAGAUUUAAAACACAGAAAGGCUGGGAGUGAAGCUCAGUGAUAGAGUGCUUGCCUAGCACACACAAGGCUCUGGGUUUCAUCCUCAGCACUGCAAAAAAGAGAAAAAAGGAAGAAGGGGAGUAGGGGAGGAAGGGAGUGAGAGAGGGAGAGGAGGAGGGAGAGAGGAAGGAAGAGCUAUGAGCACCACCUUGUGACACAUGUCUAAUUAUGUUGCGACAAUUCAGCACAUUACCCCAUGGGUCCCAGCCAUGUGAGCCACAGGAAAAAAGUAGGGCUCUACUGACCUCCAAGUGAGCCUGGUCCCAUGGGCAGGGCUCAGCCUGCCAGGCCGUUCUCAGUUGUUCUCCCUGCAGCUCAGGAGCUUAGACAUUGUGGUCAGUGGCCCAUGUGGUGGGCUGCAUUGCCCAUCUGGCAAUCAGGGAGGCUCUGCCUCAGGUUCCAUGCUGGGCUCUGGUCACCUGGCCAUCCCCCAAAUCUGAGUUCAGGGGCAGCUGCUGUCCCAGCCUCCUGCCAAAGCCACCUUUCCCUCCCUGCCCCCUAGGAUCCUAGGAAUCAGAACGUCCUAGUCCUCCCCGCAGUACCACACCUGGGUAUUGGGGCCUAUCAAAAACUGGCUUGCUCUCUCACCAGAAGAAAUGAAGAUAGCACUUUCUGAUUGGUCUGCACCUGUGUCCUGAAUCUCUGUGAUUGCAGGUCACAGCCAGGCACCCAGCGGGUUCCCUAAGUCAGUGUCCUAGCCAUGCCAUCCCCAUCUCUUCCCUGGAAGGCACCACAGCUGUGCUCCCUGGCUUUCCGCCUCCACUCUGGGGCCCCCCACCCCCCUGCACACCACACUGGGGUCAGAGCCGCUCUUCUCCCCGUGGAAUGUGACUGAUGGGAUCUGCGUGGGGAGCCCUUCAGGACACACGCCCAACUCCACAGCAGGACUAAGUGGGCAUCUGAGCAUGGGGAGACAUCUCAGGCCCACCUCCCAUCUCUCUCCAGGAUCUGGGUUCGCGUUUCUAACUGGUUUGGUGGGGUGGGUGAAUGCCUACUGCUGGCCCUGCCCCCAGCAAUGGCACUGCCAGGCUGAUCCUUGUGGCUCUCUCUGAUGGGGGAUGACCCUACCUGGCCACACAGCCAGACAGUGGGGACAGCUGUACAGAUACCACACAAUGGCCACCAUAUGCAGGGCUGACAGGCAGGUGGGAGAGCCUCCGGUGACAGAGGCAGCAGUGGACACACCUGAAGCCACCAGGCAGUGUGUUUUACAAGCUUUCUCACAAAAGCAAGAGAAAAAAGCACCUUGGUCUCUGCUUUCCAGAAACCAGGGAAGUGGCCUGACCCUGUUCUGCCACCCACUGACUCCUCCCCUCCCUCCCCUCUGCAUCGGGCCUGGGUAUCAGAGGGCUCUCUCCACAAAGUCCCCAGGCACAAGACGGGCACGUGUGGAGGCUGAAUGGGGCAAGUGGAGAUCAGUACAGCUUUGGGACAGGCUCAACCCCAUCAGCUUGUUGUGUGACCCUGCUGGCCAGCUGUGCUCUCUGGGCCUUGGUUUGCUUCGAAAGAAAGUGCAGGCAGGCAAGGGAAGAGAGCACUUCUCAUAGGGGAGGCCCUGGAUUCCAAGUAGCCAGGCCUGGGCUGCUCCUCUGUAGCUCUAGGCACAGUGGGGCAGUGGAAGGCGAAGGCCAGGAGUGCAUUUCAGUUGUGACUCCAGCACUUCCCAGCCGUGCACCUGGACCCUCUGACACUCAAGCUCCUCUUCUAAAUCGGGUUUUAACGCAUGUUUAUAGGGCGGUCUGUGAGGGCCCUUCUCCUGCCCUUCCUGGCUCACAGGAGCCCAGGCUCAGCUUCUUUCCCUUUUAGUUUCUUUUACAUGAAUAUCAAAGGCAGCUUUGAAAAUAAAUCCCUGAAGCACUCAAGAUUGGGGGUGGGGGACAGAGCACAGCCCCACAUACAAUGCAGGUCCAAGUUCCACAGCAUUGCAGAUGUCUAAAGCUCCCCAUCCUGCCCCGCCCCCUGCCGGAGUUGGGGAGCCUGUGAGCUGUUGAGCCUCACCCCACAGAGCCUCCUGACACCCAUCUGGUUGAGGGGGAGGAGAACGGUGGGAGGGUCCUGAACUGCCCUGGACUAGCUGGAUGCUUCAUGGGCAGCCUCAGUCACAAUAGUGAGGCAGGAGAUGAGGGCGUGGCCAACCCGCCGAGCAACGGGGCGUGUCCUGCAAUCAGAUUCAGGAGGCGCGCACAGACC